GUAACAGCAUAUCACUGCAUCUGCCACUUCUUGAUGAUUCCUUACAACUCCUGGCAAAUGAUGGCUUUGCUCCUCUCAAGCAGCAACACUCCAACCUAUGCAUGUUUGGAUAAUCAUUGCUUGUGAGGGUUUAACAAGGUCAGAGUGCAAAUCCUACUUCAAUCUCAAUUAGUCACAUUCUAUGACAUGCAGUGGAAACACUGGGUCUAUUCUUUGACAUGCUGGUCCACACAAAGCAUAUGUACCUAUUAAAACGUAUCCAAAAAGAAGACAACUACCACCAGGUUUCUUUUAUCAUGUCUGACAGGAUCUAACCACGACCACUACCAACAGCAACAACAACACCACCAACGAAAAAUUAAAAAAACUACAGUGACAACAAGACAUAUGAAAGCAUAAAUCAACACUGACAGAAUUUCAACUCAUAAUCAUAAAAUUAUCAAAUCGGAUGCCCUAUCCCUCAGCUCAAUUACUUACUAAAAAUGAAGUAUUUUUAUCUAAAAUAAUCUAUUCAAAAUGUUACUAUUAAUUCUUUUAUCCUAUUUACUAACCUCAUGCCAUGAAAGAUGUCAAAACAAUGAAAUAUAUAAAAGUAUUACAUUUACACUGAAUUUCUUUGCGCAAACCAAUUCUUAAAAGAAAAAAAAAAAUACAUGGAAAACAUUUUAAAAUAAAUGUAGAUUUGGAGUAUCCAUGACAAAAGUUGACCUCAAAACAAACUGCAGUCUGAACUGGGCUUGCAUGCAUUACCAAGACAUUGAAGAGAGCUGAUCAAGAAGUUUUCUUAAGAACAAAAUACACCAUUUGACUGUGGCCAUACUGGAGCACCACCUUUCGUUAAACAAAUCAACCCCAGGACUUAUUGUUUGUAAGCCGAGUACUUAUUCUAUUGGUCUCUUUUCCCAAACCGCUAAGUUACGGGGAUGUAAACACACCAACAUCGGUUGUCAAGCAAUGGUGGGGGAUAAACACAGACACACAAAUACAUACAUAUAUAUAUAUAUAUAUAUAUAUAUAUAUAUAUAUAUACAUGACGGCUUCUUUCAGUUUCCAUCUACCCAAUCCACUCACAAGACUUUAGUUGGCCAAAGGCUAGAACAGAAAAGACUUGCCCAAGGUGCCACACAGUGGGACUGAACCUGGAACCAUGUGGUUGGGAAGCAGGCUUCUUACCACACAGCCACUCCUAUAUGUACAUUAAACUGAUGUAACAUUAGUUAAAACUUAUCCCUCUCAAGUUGUUUUCUUUUUGUGCUCAAUGUCGAAUACAUACAUACAUACAUAAAUACAUACAUGCAUACACACAUGCAUACAAAUGUUUGUAUGCAUAUACGUGUGCGUUGUGUGUGUGUAUGUGAGUGUUGUGUGUAUGUAUGUGUGCAUAUGUAUGUAUAUAUGUAUAUAUAUAUAUAUAUAUAUAUAUACAAGUGUGUUAUGUGUGUGAUCAUCAUUGUACCUCCACUUUCUAUGCUGGCAUGGGUCAGAUGAUUCAACAAUAUCUGAGUUAUCACAGGAGAUGUAUUACUCCAACGUAUCAGUUUUAGCAUGGUCUUUAAGCCUGGAUAUCUUUCUUAACAUCAACCACCUUACAGAGUGUCCAAGGUGCAUUUUUCUCAUAGCAACAGCACUUUAGUCUUGUUCUCAGCAAGACUUAAGGCGCGCACAUACACACACACACACAUUAGCACAAUAUGUUAUUCAUCUCUGUAUCUGUGUUGAACUUUUUGCCAGGUUGUGCUACUUAGUGGUUUUAGAAUUUCUUACCAAUGCAUAUUUUCAGUAUAUAUAUAUUUUCAAAUACAUAUACUCACAUAUACAUAUACACACACAUAUGCCUACAUAUACAUUUGCACACUCAUAUUCACACACACAUAUUUCCUUGUACAUUAGGCUUCUCUUAACUAGUUUCCAAAGGUAAACACAAUGCGUUUGUAUCAUACAUAAACUCCAAAGUUAUGAGUAUUUUGCUCAUAAAAUCUCUAUUAACUUAGUUAAUUGAUCAUUAAUAUCAAAUAAUACAGAAAAUAUU